rnacentral:rRNA from 1 species
UACAGAGGGUGCAAGCGUUGUUCGGAAUUAUUGGGCGGAAAGCGCGUGUAGGCGGCUUUGCAAGUCGGGUGUGAAAGCCCUCAGCUCAACUGAGGAAGUGCGCCCGAAACUGCAGAGCUUGAGUGCCGGAGAGGGUGGCGGAAUUCCCCAAGUAGAGGUGAAAUUCGUAGAUAUGGGGAGGAACACCGGUGGCGAAGGCGGCCACCUGGACGGCAACUGACGCUGAGGUGCGAAAGCGUGGGGAGCAAACAGG